UGAGUAACACGUAUGCAAUCCACCUGUAACAGGGGGAUAACCCGGAGAAAUCCGGACUAAUACCCCAUAAUAUGGGCGCUCCGCAUGGAGAGUCCAUUAAAGAGAGCAAUCUUGGUUACAGACGAGCAUGCGCUCCAUUAGCCAGUUGGCGGGGUAACGGCCCACCAAGGCGACGAUGGAUAGGGGUUCUGAGAGGAAGGUCCCCCACAUUGGAACUGAGACACGGUCCAA
rnacentral:rRNA from 1 species